AUUGAACGCUGGCGGCAGGCCUAACACAUGCAAGUCGAGCGGGGUUUUCGGACCUAGCGGCGGACGGGUGAGUAAUGCGUAGGAAGCUGCCCGAUAGAGGGGGAUACCAGUUGGAAACGACUGUUAAUACCGCAUAAUGUCUACGGACCAAAGUGUGGGACCUUCGGGCCACAUGCUAUCGGAUGCGCCUACGUGGGAUUAGCUAGUUGGUGAGGUAAUGGCUCACCAAGGCGACGAUCUCUAACUGGUUUGAGAGGAUGAUCAGCCACACUGGAACUGAGACACGGUCCAGACUCCUACGGGAGGCAGCAGUGGGGAAUAUUGGACAAUGGGCGCAAGCCUGAUCCAGCCAUGCCGCGUGUGUGAAGAAGGCCUUCGGGUUGUAAAGCACUUUCAGCGAGGAGGAAGGGUGGUGUGUUAAUAGCACAUCAUUUUGACGUUACUCGCAGAAGAAGCACCGGCCAAUCUCGUGCCAGCAGCCGCCGUAAAAC
rnacentral:rRNA from 1 species